UAAGAAUAAGCCCUGUAUAUUUAAGUGCCAGCAGCCGCGGUAAAAGGUAGGGUGCGAGCGUUAAUUGGAUUUAAUUGAGCGUACAUCGUGCGCAGGCNGUGAUGUAAGCCAUAGGUGAAAUCGAGGNUCUCCACUGGGGAAGUGCUNUUUGAGACUGUAUCGUUGGAGUGUGACAGAGGUGGAUGAGAUUCCUAGUGUANCAGUGACAUGCGUAGUUAUGUGGAGGAUCGCCGAUGAGGAAGUCAAUCCCUGGGGCCUGCACUGACGUUCAUGCAUGAGAGUCAGUGGAGCAACCAGGAUUAGAUACCCUGGUAGUCCUCGCCCUAAACGAUGUCAACUGGUUGUUGGGAAUUAGUUUUCUCAGUAACGAAGUUAACGCGUGAAGUUGACCGCCUGGGGAGCACGUCCCCAAGGUUGAACCUCAAAGGAAUUGCCGGGGACCCGCACAACCGGUGGAUGAUGUGGUUUAAUUAGAUGCAACGAGAAAACCCUUCCCCCCUUUUGCCAUGUCCGGAAUCCUUUAGAGAUAGAGGAGUGCUUGAAAGAGAGCCGUAACCCAGUUCCUGCAUGGCUGUCGUCAGUUCGUGUCGUGAGAUGUUGGGUUAAGUCCCGCAACGAGCGCAUCCCUUGCCAUUAGUUGCUACGAAAGGGCACUCUAAUGGGACUGCACGGUGACAACCCGGAGGAAGGUGGGGAUGACGUCAAGUCCUCAUGGCCCUUAUAGGUGGGGCUCCUCUCGUCAUACAAUGGCUGGUACAAAGGGUUGCCAACCCGCGAGGGGGAGUUAAUCCCAUAAAGCCAGUCGUAGUCCGGAUCGCAGUUUGCAACUCGCCUGCGUGAAGUCGGAAUCGCUAGUAAUCGUGGAUCACCAUGUCCCGGUGAAUACGUUCCCGGGUCUUGUACACACCGCCCG
rnacentral:rRNA from 1 species